rnacentral:rRNA from 1 species
AUUGAACGCUGGCGGCAGGCCUAACACAUGCAAGUCGAACGAGUGGCGGACGGGUGAGUAAUGUCUGGGAAACUGCCUGCUGGAGGGGGAUAACUACUGGAAACGGUAGCUAAUACCGCAUACCAUCAGAUGUGCCCAGAUGGGAUUAGCUAGUUGGUGGGGUAACGGCUCACCACGGCGCCGAGCCCUAGCUGGGCUGAGAGGAUGACCAGACACACGGGAACUGAGACAAGGUGAAGACUACUACGGGAGGCAGCAGGGGGUAAUAUUGCACAAUGGGCGCAAGCCUGAUGCAGCCAUGACGCGUGUAUGAAGAAGGCCUUCGGGUUGUAAAGUACUUUCAGCGGGGAGGCGUUAGCCGCAGAAGAAGCACCGGAUAACGCCGUGCCAGCAGCCGCGGUAAUAC